ACACUGGUGGCUCAGUGGUAGAAUUCUCGCCUUCCAUGCAAUACCUGGGAUCGAUUCCCAGCCAAUGCA
rnacentral:tRNA from 1 species